rnacentral:rRNA from 1 species
AUUGAACGCUGGCGGCAUGCUUUACACAUGCAAGUCGAACGGUAACAGGCCUUCGGGUGCUGACGAGUGGCGAACGGGUGAGUAAUGCAUCGGAACGUACCCAGAGGUGGGGGAUAACGCAGCGAAAGCUGUGCUAAUACCGCAUGUGAUCUGAGGAUGAAAGCGGGGGACCGAGCAGCAAUGUUUGGCCUCGCGCCUUUGGAGCGGCCGAUGUCGGAUUAGCUAGUUGGUGGGGUAAAGGCCUACCAAGGCGACGAUCCGUAGCUGGUCUGAGAGGACGACCAGCCACACUGGGACUGAGGCACGGCCCAGACUCCUACGGGAGGCAGCAGUGGGGAAUUUUGGACAAUGGGCGCAAGCCUGAUCCAGCAAUGCCGCGUGCGGGAAGAAGGUCUUCGGGUUGUAAACCGCUUUUGGCAGGAACGAAACGGUGUCCGCUAAUACCGGGCGCUAAUGACGGUACCUGCAGAAUAAGCACCGGCUAACUACGUG